GUAGUCAAAGACUCGCCGUCGUCGAAGACUUGCUACAUUUGAAGGCUUUGGCGCACUGUUGUCGAAGACUCGCCCUCGUCAAAGCCUUGCAUGUGCUAUUACUUCCACAGCACGUGGCCUAUAUCCCCUCCAAAUCUAAGGUGUACCUCAGGUCAAAUUGGAGUAGAAGUGCUAUCCACAGUUCCAGGUUUCAAACCAAAACCAAGGAAUCCACAGUUUAAAAGUAUAGGUUGAUAUAGACAUUUAGACAUUACUGAAGCACGCGUGAAGAUCUUGUCAUCUCAAGCAUAGAUUGAGGGGCCAGAGUGUGGAAAUUGUAGUGGCUGGAAUGAAAGUACAGGAAGCAGUGAUGGGAAAUAGAAAAAUGGUAUUGAGCAUUAAAUCUGUCUAACCAGCUAUAACAAUUUUGAGAGAGAAUGGAAUUUAUUCAGGUUCAAAAUGGUGGUGACCACUCAGGGUUUGACAACUGCUAUUCCAAGUAGCCUUUGACAAUUUCUUGAGCCUCUCAGGGUUGCUUUUUCUGUGUUCUGCAUCAUUGACGUGAAUGUCAGAAACGGUAGAAACCCUCACACCAAAUACUUCUAGAAUGGAUCAUUUACCUUCUUAUAUCGAUUCAUCGUCAAUUGAGAAUAGUAAAGGUCGAUCAGAUGUGUGGGGACAUUUUACUAAACAAAACCCUUAUUCUGAGAAGAAGGCUAAAUGCAAUUAUUGUGGUGAUUUGAUUAAAUAUUUGGCUGGAACA